rfam:Lactobacillus namurensis DSM 19117 NODE_150, whole genome shotgun sequence.
UCGAAUAGAAGAGGCGCGGUCAACAAGAGUCGCAUUUUGGAGGUGGGUACCACCGAUGAAAAAAUGUUAAAGGGGCGAUCGCCGAAACUCACGGUGAGCUAUCUAAGCUGUGGGUUGGGGCCUGAUUCAACAAAUCAGGGACUGUCGUAGCCGAUAGGGUUACGGGGCGCUUUCAACGAU